GGGGCGCGGGAACCUGUGUUGUACAAGAAGGUUUUUGCGAAUAAGAUACAUUACAGGUGUUCCCUCAUUUCGACCAACUCCUGUAUUAUACUGUGCACAUACUGUACCUUGAGCCUUUGCAGGGCACUAAUACGAGUGAAGAGCUGGGGCUGUUCCAGAGGCAGUAGAUCAUCCAUGGACAGUAGUAAGCUGCCAGCCUCGAGAAGACUCUCCUGAUUGCUGUGCUUCAGGUCUACUUCAGGACCCUGAAAUGAUAUCAUUGUCAAAACUGACUACAGAAGAUCCACCAAGUUAAAGCAGGCCAUGACAAGGUCUGUUUAUAAUAUUGCACUGAUCGCCUGGCUGAGCUGUUAUCUAGCAAACACAAGACUGUGCAAGCCUCAGCCGAAUAUUCAGGCAAAAUUAUUCCUGUUCCGUUAUUCGUUUUUGAAGCCAUUAUCAGUGCCAUUCCGAAUAAGAUCAAAAAAGUCAGUUUACCUCUGUAAAAUCCGAGAGCUGAGCAGAGCAGAACACAAUGUCUUCAGGAGUCUCCAAUAUCCGAGAGUAGAUGAUCAUGAUAUUGGAGAACUCUGCAGCAAAACCUAGCUGUACCUUGACACCACAUUCAAACUGAAGACAGCAGCUCUCUGGGAGGACUGGAACAAUUCACACAAAAUUGUCAUUAUGUAUAUCAUAAUUUUAUUUACAGCCAAAGUGCUUUGCAUAAGGAUAAAAAUUUAAGAGGUUUUAUUAAUGAAAGGUCGAACCAUGAGCGAUGGCCCACUGUAAGUUUCGAGUUGACGCUGUGACUUGGCAUGCAGGAGCCUGAAUGCUGUCUGUCAGGGCACGACGCUCCGAGAGAUUACUUCGCAGCUCUAGAGCCUGCCGACCACGAGUGAUUUCACACCUUCCCAUGUCUGCAAUGGACACUGACUCUGUAAAACUAUGCAGUCACACUUGCUGUCAUCAGUUUUUUUAUAGGAGCCUAUGACGUAGAUGUGGCUUAAUAACACAUUUGUAAAAAAAAUUAGUUGGAAAAGUAGUUGUCAAUACCAACAAUGAUUUAAACCCCAAACCUUCAGCUACUUUGUCAAGUAUGACCGUAACCUUCUCUGGCUCCAUCAGUCUUUUCUUAAGGAAGCUCAUGAAGAUUCCAUUAGAGAGAUCGUCUUUAUUUACUUCAAAUGCUUCGGCAUCAACACACCUGAAUCCAGAAUGUGAAGACUGUAAUCACAAUCUUUUAGAUGCCAAUAAGAUUAUUGUCAUUGAAUUAGACUUACGUUGCAUAGCCAAACACUAUGUUUGCUGUCACUCUCAAGGGGCCAGGUUGUGGGAUGCUCUCGUCAUUUGGGUUUCUGAAUGAACAACACAACUGAAGUCAGUUUCAAGUAAAGUUUUAUGCACUAUAAUUCUGAUACACUUAUGAAUCAAACCGCACCGUUUCCGACACAUGUCCAAUAGAAAGACAUUAAGUCCCGUCUGGCGCGCUUGCAUGCGCUGUAACACAUCCUGCACCCAGAGGCAGUGCUUGAAGGUAUAUGAGGCUGGAGCGUCGAUGGGUACCAUGAAACUGUUCCCAUAGUUUUCAUAGCCAUGACCAGCAAAGUACAACAGCCCUUGAAAUGGUGGACAUGGAUGAAAAGAUCCAAAUGUUUUAAAUAAACAAUCAGGAUGUGUAGAACUUAGAAACUGUCCUAACAUUCCAUAGUUGUUGAAGUUCAAAUGAUGCAACAAGGAACUAACCAUAAACACCUCGAUCCAACAGCAGCAAGAACUCGGUAACAGCACUAUGCAUCUCCUGCCAGUUGAGGUCCAGCAGAGAAACGACUUUAAAGUCUAACUGACGUAGAAGGUUUGUUAGCUCGUGCACAUCUGCCAUGGGAGCUCUCAGCUGCCGGUGAUGCAGGUAGUUCAUGUUUCCAAUAAGCAGUGCUACCUUAUCAGUGGCUAUCAUUUUUGAAGUGACAAGAUUGACAUAUCAGAUCCUCCGAAUACAAUAAAUGCCAAGAGCAACCAACACACUUCUGCUUAUCACUUACCGCAACAAUCACCCAUUUGCCUUGGACCUGCAUCAGGAGCACCUGUAAAAUAUAAGGUGCAUGUGAGUGACAAAGAAAGCAUCAGUAGAUGUGUUAAAUUCAUGCAAUUAAACCGACUGUGCUUACCUACUUUAGGCGCUUCCCACGAGGGAUCAGAAAAGGAACCAGGACCUGAGUGAAAACAGGCCAUGCUAUAAAAAAAUCUUUUAUCUAUUUAUUUCAUUUAUAUUUAAGGGGAUGAUUAUAAAUGGGCGUCUUACCGAUGUUUACUUGGACCUGAUCACUCCAUGCUUCAUGAUAGAGGUUGUAAACCUUGCAAGUAUAUGUACCUCUAUCUGCUGUGGUUAUGCAUGGAAUCUGAGAACAAACACAUCCAGAUGCCCAAACUCAGCUUAAAGAGAAAUCUUCACAUGCCUGCACUUGUGCCUCCAGACCUCACUAGACGUACAUGGGCCCAGUCGGAGAAGACGUACUUGUCCCCAGAACUUACACGGCAGAUGUAGGGAC